GAUGAAGAAACGCAGCAAAAUGCGAUAAGUAAUGUGAAUUGCAGAAUUCAGUGAAUCAUCGAAUCUUUGAACGCACAUUGCGCCCGCCAGUAUUCUGGCGGGCAUGCCUGUUCGAGCGUCAUUUCAACCCUCAAGCACAGCUUGGUGUUGGGACUCGCGUUAAUUCGCGUUCCCCAAAUUGAUUGGCGGUCACGUCGAGCUUCCAUAGCGUAGUAGUAAAACCCUCGUUACUGGUAAUCGUCGCGGCCACGCCGUUAAACCCCAACUUCUGAAUGUUGACCUCGGAUCAGGUAGGAAUACCCGCUGAACUUAAGCAUAUCAAUAAGCGGAGGA
rnacentral:misc_RNA from 1 species